rnacentral:rRNA from 1 species
AUUGAACGCUGGCGGCAGGCCUAACACAUGCAAGUCGAGCGGAUGAAGGGAGCUUGCUCCUGGAUUCAGCGGCGGACGGGUGAGCAAUGCCUAGGAAUCUGCCUGGUAGUGGGGGAGAACGUCCGGAAACGGGCGCUAAUACCGCAUACGCCCUGAGGGAGAAAGUGGGGGAUCUUCGGACCUCACGCUAUCAGAUGAGCCUAGGUCGGAUUAGCUAGUUGGUGGGGUAAAGGCCUACCAAGGCGACGAUCCGUAGCUGGUCUGAGAGGAUGAUCAGUCACACUGGAACUGAGACACGGUCCAGACUCCUACGGGAGGCAGCAGUGGGGAAUAUUGGACAAUGGGCGAAAGCCUGAUCCAGCCAUGCCGCGUGUGUGAAGAAGGUCUUCGGAUUGUAAAGCACUUUUAGUUGGGAGGAAGGGCAGUAAGUUAAUACCUUGCUGUUUUGACGUUACCAACAGAAUAAGCACCGGCUAACUUCGUG